rnacentral:rRNA from 1 species
UACACUCCUACGGGAGGCAGCAGUGGGGAAUUUUGGACAAUGGGCGAAAGCCUGAUCCAGCAAUGCCGCGUGAGUGAAGAAGGCCUUCGGGUUGUAAAGCUCUUUUGUCAGGGAAGAAACGGUGAGAGCUAAUAUCUUUUGCUAAUGACGGUACCUGAAGAAUAAGCACCGGCUAACUACGUGCCAGCAGCCGCGGUAAUACGUAGGGUGCAAGCGUUAAUCGGAAUUACUGGGCGUAAAGCGUGCGCAGGCGGUUUUGUAAGUCUGAUGUGAAAUCCCCGGGCUCAACCUGGGAAUUGCAUUGGAGACUGCAAGGCUAGAAUCUGGCAGAGGGGGGUAGAAUUCCACGUGUAGCAGUGAAAUGCGUAGAUAUGUGGAGGAACACCGAUGGCGAAGGCAGCCCCCUGGGUCAAGAUUGACGCUCAUGCACGAAAGCGUGGGGAGCAAACAGGAUUAGAAACCCGGGUAGUCCCAU